rnacentral:rRNA from 1 species
CCUUUGACGUUAGCGGCGGACGGGUGAGUAACACGUGGGUAACCUACCUAUAAGACUGGGAUAACUUCGGGAAACCGGAGCUAAUACCGGAUAAUAUUCGAACCGCAUGGUUCGAUAGUGAAAGGUGGUUUUGCUAUCACUUAUAGAUGGACCCGCGCCGUAUUAGCUAGUUGGUAAGGUAACGGCUUACCAAGGCGACGAUACGUAGCCGACCUGAGAGGGUGAUCGGCCACACUGGAACUGAGACACGGUCCAGACUCCUACGGGAGGCAGCAGUG